rnacentral:rRNA from 1 species
UCGAGGAUCUCCGGCAAUGGGCGCAAGCCUGACCGAGCGACGCCGCGUGUGCGAUGAAGGCCUUCGGGUCGUAAAGCACUGUCGUGGGGGAGAAAAGGCCGCAAGGCCCUGAUCGACCCCAGGAGGAAGCACGGGCUAAGUUCGUGCCAGCAGCCGCGGUAAGACGAACCGUGCAAACGUUAUUCGGAAUCACUGGGCUUAAAGGGCGCGUAGGCGGGCCGCCAGGUCCGGGGUGAAAGCCUCCAGCUCAACUGGAGAAGUGCCUUGGAUACCGGCGGCCUCGAGGGAGGUAGGGGCGUGCGGAACUUCGGGUGGAGCGGUGAAAUGCGUAGAUAUCCGAAGGAACACCGGUGGCGAAAGCGGCGCGCUGGAUCUCUUCUGACGCUGAGGCGCGAAAGCCAGGGGAGCAAACGG